rnacentral:piRNA from 1 species
UGCGAUAACAAGACACAGUUCCACUCC